AGUCGAGCGAACUGAUUAGAAGCUUGCUUCUAUGACGUUAGCGGCGGACGGGUGAGUAACACGUGGGCAACCUGCCUGUAAGACUGGGAUAACUCCGGGAAACCGGAGCUAAUACCGGAUAACAUUUUCUCUUGCAUAAGAGAAAAUUGAAAGAUGGUUUCGGCUAUCACUUACAGAUGGGCCCGCGGUGCAUUAGCUAGUUGGUGAGGUAACGGCUCACCAAGGCAACGAUGCAUAGCCGACCUGAGAGGGUGAUCGGCCACACUGGGACUGAGACACGGCCCAGACUCCUACGGGAGGCAGCAGUAGGGAAUCUUCCGCAAUGGACGAAAGUCUGACGGAGCAACGCCGCGUGAGUGAUGAAGGCUUUCGGGUCGUAAAACUCUGUUGUUAGGGAAGAACAAGUACAAGAGUAACUGCUUGUACCUUGACGGUACCUAACCAGAAAGCCACGGCUAACUACGUGCCAGCAGCCGCGGUAAUACGUAGGUGGCAAGCGUUAUCCGGAAUUAUUGGGCGUAAAGCGCGCGC
rnacentral:rRNA from 1 species